GAAUAUGCAUUUCCGUACCUUCAAAGGGUUAGUGAAUGAGUCCUUCCUUUCAAGCCCCAACUAUAGUCUGAGCUGAUAUCCAGCACUGACCACAAGAUAUAAAUGAAACAGUCUUUGGAAGAUGACAGCCUCCAGCCUUCAAGUCUUGUAUUUAAGACCCCAGAGCAGAGAUACCCUAUUCAAGUUGAUGACCAGCAGAAACAAUGAGAGGAAGAAAAGAAAUCUCCAAGUGCUUGCUACCAACGUAACAAAAUCUGGAGAGGCUGCAUGCUGCUGUUCUGUUGGAAAUGCAAGAUUUUUAUGGUGGCAAAAACGGAUCCUGA